rnacentral:rRNA from 1 species
GUCCACGCCGUAAACGAUGUCAACUAGCCGUUGGAUUCCUUGAGGAUUUAGUGGCGCAGCUAACGCAUUAAGUUGACCGCCUGGGGAGUACGGCCGCAAGGUUAAAACUCAAAUGAAUUGACGGGGGCCCCGCACAAGCGGUGGAGCAUGUGGUUUAAUUCGAAGCAACGCGAAGAACCUUACCAGGCCUUGACAUCUACAGAACUUUCCAGAGAUGGAUUGGUGCCUUCGGGAACUGUAAGACAGGUGCUGCAUGGCUGUCGU